GCAUAUCAAUAAGCGGAGGAAAAGAAACUAACAAGGAUUCCCUUAGUAACGGCGAGUGAAGAGGGAAAAGCUCAAAUUUUAAAUCUAUCAUGUUUGUACAUGAUCGAAUUGUAAUUUGAAGAAGCGUUUUCUCGUACUUUAUGCAAUCAGUAUAAGUUCUCUUGGAACAGGACAUCAUAGAGGGUGAUAAUCCCGUCUGUUACUGGUUGUGAGGUUCGUUAUGAUACGCUUUCAAAGAGUCGAGUUGUUUGGGAUUGCAGCUCAAAAUGGGAGGUAAAUUUCUCCUAAGGCUAAAUAUUGGCGAGAGACCGAUAGCGAACAAGUACCGUGAGGGAAAGAUGAAAAGCACUUUGAAAAGAGAGUUAAAUAGUACGUGAAAUUGUUGAAAGGGAAACGAUUGAAGCCAGUCGUACCGACGGAGAAUCAACCUCUAGAGUGCGAAAUGCGGGUAUUCGGGGAGUUAAAACCUUCGUGUGUUCGUAAUUUUGUGCUUAUGGGGUGCAUUUCUUCGUAUGGUAGGUUAACAUCAAUUUUGGACGUUACAAAGUGAUCGGGGGAAUGUAGCUUCGAUUUUUUCGAAGUGUUAUAGCCCUUGGUAGAUGUGACGACCGGGAUUGAGGAUUGCAACGAAUGCCUUCGGGCUAUCCGCCUGGCCUCUGAUGGUUGCCCUGGGGUCGAAAGCAUGCUUACGGCUUCNAGGCUUGGCUGUCAAAAGGUUAGAACGUGAUUAAAUUCGUUAAGGAUGUUGACGUA
rnacentral:rRNA from 1 species